CACGGGGGGAGCAAGCGUUGUUCGGAAUCACUGGGCGUAAAGGGCGUGUAGGCGGUCAGGUUAGUGAGAUGUGAAAUGCCCCGGCUCACCCGGGGACCUGCAUCUCAAACUGCCUGGCUUGAGUAUGGGAGAGGAUGAGGGAAUUCCUGGUGUAGCGGUGAAAUGCGUAGAUAUCAGGAGGAACACCGGUGGCGAAAGCGCUCAUCUGGCCCAAUACUGACGCUGAGGCGCGAAAGCUAGGGGAGCGAACAGG
rnacentral:rRNA from 1 species